CGCUGGCGGUAGGCUUAACACAUGCAAGUCGUGCGAGAAAGUAUCUUCGGAUAUGAGUAGAGCGGCGGACGGGUGAGUAACGCGUAGGAAUCUACCUAGUAGAAGGGGAUAGCCCGGGGAAACUCGGAUUAAUACCGUAUACCUCCUUUGGGAGAAAGAGGGCCUCUCUUGAUGCUCUCGCUAUUAGAUGAGCCUGCGUAAGAUUAGCUUGUUGGUGAGGUAAUGGCUCACCAAGGCUACGAUCUUUAGCUGGUCUGAGAGGACGAUCAGCCACAUUGGGACUGAGACACGGCCCAGACUCCUACGGGAGGCAGCAGUGGGGAAUAUUGGACAAUGGGCGCAAGCCUGAUCCAGCCAUACCGCGUGUGUGAAGAAGGCUCUAGGGUUGUAAAGCACUUUAAGCAGGGAGAAAAAGUUAUAAGUUAAUACCUUAUAACCGUGAUGUUACCUGCAGAAUAAGCACCGGCUAAUUCCGUGCCAGCAGCCGCGGUAAUACGGAAGGUGCAAGCGUUAAUCGGAAUUACUGGGCGUAAAGCGCGCGUAGGUGGUUUGUUAAGUUGGAUGUGAAAGCCCUGGGCUCAACCUAGGAACUGCAUCCAAAACUAACUCACUAGAGUACGAUAGAGGGAGGUAGAAUUCAUAGUGUAGCGGUGGAAUGCGUAGAUAUUAUGAAGAAUACCAGUGGCGAAGGCGGCCUCCUGGAUCUGUACUGACACUGAGGUGCGAAAGCGUGGGUAGCGAACAGGAUUAGAUACCCUGGUAGUCCACGCCGUAAACGAUGACAACUAGCUGUUGGGAGACAAUGUCUUUCAGUGGCGCAGCUAACGUUUUAAGUUGUCCGCCUGGGGAG
rnacentral:rRNA from 1 species